rnacentral:rRNA from 1 species
ACUCCUACGGGAGGCAGCAGUGGGGAAUAUUGCACAAUGGGCGCAAGCCUGAUGCAGCCAUGCCGCGUGUGUGAAGAAGGCCUUCGGGUUGUAAAGCACUUUCAGUCGUGAGGAAGGUAGUGUAGUUAAUAGCUGCAUUAUUUGUACGUUAGCGACAGAAGAAGCACCGGCUAACUCCGUGCCAGCAGCCGCGGUAAUACGGAGGGUGCGAGCGUUAAUCGGAAUUACUGGGCGUAAAGCGCAUGCAGGUGGUUUGUUAAGUCAGAUGUGAAAGCCCGGGGCUCAACCUCGGAAUAGCAUUUGAAACUGGCAGACUAGAGUACUGUAGAGGGGGGUAGAAUUUCAGGUGUAGCGGUGAAAU